UACGAAGGGGGCUAGCGUUGCUCGGAAUCACUGGGCGUAAAGGGUGCGUAGGCGGGUCUUUAAGUCAGGGGUGAAAUCCUGGAGCUCAACUCCAGAACUGCCUUUGAUACUGAGGAGCUUGAGUCCGGGAGAGGUGAGUGGAACUGCGAGUGUAGAGGUGAAAUUCGUAGAUAUUCGCAAGAACACCAGUGGCGAAGGCGGCUCACUGGCCCGGUACUGACGCUGAGGUGCGAAAGCGUGGGGAGCAAACAGGG
rnacentral:rRNA from 1 species